CAAUGAUUAGAUUCUGAACAAUGAUCACAUCUUGAACAAUGAUCAUAUCCUAAACAAUGUUCAGAUUCUAAACAAUGAUCACAUGUUGAACAAUAGUCACAGCCUGAUUAUACCUUGAACAAUGAUUAGAUUCUGAACAAUGAUCACAUCUUGAACAAUGAUCAUAGCUUGAACAAUGAUCACAACCUGAAUAAUGAUCACAUUUAAGCAAUGGUCUCUUCCUAAACAAUGAUCACAUUUUGAACAAUGAUCAAAUCUUGAACAAUGAUCACAUUUAUACCAAGUGGACUUAAAAUUUUCAUUCAACAGCCAUUAAUUCUUAAGAUUGAGAAAUCUAUUAAUUUUUCUAAUAUCAUUAAAGAAGAAUUGUAAACACUUAAUAAAAGUUGUUUGAAUUUCCAGUCCAUUAAUUCAAGUAGAUAUUUUAAAAUUCAACUUACUAUAGACCCAGUCAUCAUAAUACCAUUAAUAAUAUUACACAUUUAACCUUGGGAAUCUCCAGCUUCUUUCCUCUUAAAAUCCUUAUAUUUUUUGCGACAAUUUUAAAUAAUAUUAUUGUUAUUAUAAUUAUCACUCACUAUUUAUUUCGUCGCGGUCAUGGAAAGUCCUUAGUCUUUAAUAAGCUGCCAUCAUGGACAGAUUAAAAUUGCCACUUACAAUUACUUUCACAAUAAUUAUAGUUUCUAGUGUUACAAUUUUUGCACAAAACGAGAGGAAAUUUGACUGUACAAGUCCAACUGGACUUCAAGGACUUUGCAUAAAUAUUGCAAACUGCCCGCCAUUGGUGAGAUUAAUUAAAACGGUGCCACUUUAUCAGAAGGAUGUUGCUUAUCUUCGUAUGUCACAGUGCGGUAAAAGUUCUAAUAAUAAGCCAAAAGUUUGUUGUGUACCAGAUGAUUUUUAAUAAAAAUUUUUUGUAAUAAUAA